rnacentral:rRNA from 1 species
CCUACGGGAGGCAGCAGUGAGGAAUAUUGCACAAUGGGGGAAACCCUGAUGCAGCGAUGCCGCGUGCGGGAUGAAGGGGCUUUGCCUCGUAAACCGCUGUCGGAUGGGAAGAAAGGGUUCUUAGAGGACCUGGGACUGUACCAUAAGAGGAAGGGACGGCUAACUACGUGCCAGCAGCCGCGGUAAUACGUUGGUCCCGAGCGUUGUCCGGAAUUACUGGGUGUAAAGGGUGCGCAGGCGGUCUUGUGCGUCAGAAGUGAAAUAUCACGGCUUAACCGUGAGGGUGCUUUUGAAACGGCGAGACUUGAGUACGGGAGAGGAUGAUGGAAUUCCUGGUGUAGCAGUGAAAUGCGUAGAUAUCAGGAGGAACACCGGUGGCGAAGGCGGUCAUCUGGCCCGGUACUGACGCUCAGGCACGAAAGUGUGGGUAGCAAACAGGAUUAGAUACCCUGGUAGUCCACACUGUAAACGAUGUAUGCUUGGUGUUGGGGUAGCAAUACUUCAGUGCCGUAGGGAACCUAUUAAGCAUACCACCUGGGGAGUACGAUCGCAAGGUUGAAACUCAAAGGAAUUGACGG